UGGGGAAUAUUGGACAAUGGGCGCAAGCCUGAUCCAGCCAUGCCGCGUGAGUGACGAAGGCCUUAGGGUUGUAAAGCUCUUUUUGGCGGGGAAGAUAAUGACGGUACCCGCAGAAUAAGCUCCGGCUAACUUCGUGCCAGCAGCCGCGGUAAUACGAAGGGAGCUAGCGUUGUUCGGAAUCACUGGGCGUAAAGCGCACGUAGGUGGGCAGUUAAGUCAGGGGUGAAAGCCCGAGGCUCAACCUCGGAAUUGCCUCUGAUACUGGCUGUCUAGAGUUCGAGAGAGGUGAGUGGAAUUCCUAGUGUAGAGGUGAAAUUCGUAGAUAUAGAAAGGAACACCAGUGGCGAAGGCGACCACCUGGACUGAUACUGACACUGAGGUGCGAAAGCGUGGGGAGCAAACAGGAUUAGAUACCCCCGUAGUCCCUGAGCGGGCUGGCAAGGCGCAU
rnacentral:rRNA from 1 species